CUGUGUUCCAUUCAAGAAAUUGCAAUUCUUCGAAUAACUUCACACUUUUUUUGCAUAUUCAUUAUUCCUUUUGGUUCAUGUAUCAAAUGUACCAUUUUUGCGAUUGCAGCUUUGCCCCAGCUCAUCUCCUCCUUUACGCGUUUCGCCCCCGUUCAUCAGUCAACACUUUACGCUUUGCUGUGCCCUGCUUCUAGUAUUGUAGAACUGCGCUGAUAUCACUAAUUCUAAGGGGGUCUACAAAUGCAUUAGCCCCUUAAAAUCUGAAAACUGUAAGCUUCAAAUUAAAUAUCUCCUAAUUUAAGAAUUUCUUGAUGUUGCAAGUGGACGAACAGGGACCCCGAUUCGGCUGCCUUAACUCAAGUCCAAUGUUAAGCUGGGAUGGUGGAAGGGUCCCUUUAAGGCUUCAACUAAACUAUGACACCAGCUUCGAGAAUCGACUUAUACCCAGCAAAGAGACCGUCAUGAGACACCUUACGCAAGGUACAAACGCGAUAAGGGUCGUCAUCCGGUUCGCCGAGACGACGGGCCUGCAAGGACAGUAACACAUCCCGAAAGAAGAUAACAGCUUGUUUUCUUCACCGCCACCAGUCUACCUGCUCUCUGCACACUCGGCAGAGCGCGGCAGGGCACCCCACGGAGCUGCACUAGUCACAUCCGGGCCCCACGCCGGUCGACGGCCGAUGCGCCGCUGGGAGGCCUGCGGCGCGGACGACGGAUGCGGCAGUUGGUCAAGACACGGCAGCCUACUCGAGGUGCUUCUCGCCUGGAGGACGCAGGCGAAUCGCGUUAUCCGAGCUGUGCCUCGUCAUGGUGCGAUGAGCCUUAAUAGACUAAUGCAUAUUCUUCCUUUGGCUGUAAUUCAUUUGCUGCUGCCCGCUGGGCUAAGGAGUAACUCUGGGCGCCUACUUUGGGCAGACGCUCGUCCAGUGCCGCUCUUCGUUUGCCGCACAUAUCUUUAUUUAUUCUUUGUUACAAUUCCGUCUUUGGUCAUUUUUUUUACCAUGGGGGCACUUGAAAGUUUUGUUUUUAAAUCUGUGGACAUUGAACCUGGAAUCGGUUUUAUGUCGGAUUUCGGUUUUGUUUUUGCACUGUGGAAAUAUCUCGUUCAAUAUUUUUAAAGGAAAAGGGCCACCUUUAACAUGGGGAUUGAAACUGAGAUAGCCAUCUUGUAGCCCGUGUCCGAAAACCUAUUUGUCUACCUCCUUACGGCCGAUUUCGGCCUCCAUUCGUAGUUAUCGGCAAUUUUAAAAGAAAAUACGCCAGGAAUGCGUUCUUAUCCCAGGAAUGCGUUCUUAUCCGACAAUACAGCCACCCGCGGCGAGGCUUUGGUUUUUUACCAAUCAGCUCCAACCAGCUCAGCUUUAACCAAUCAGCUUAUCUGACACAAUCCGACGAGUCUGUCUUCUGAACGCUGAUUGGUUUGAGUGUGACGUCAUCGCUAUGCCAUCAUACAGUAGGUGCCGUAGAGAGUAUCAACAUAGUACCAAUAUGUUAAAUAGUUUUAAAUACUUUUUCGCAAAUUGUGCACUUCUGGCACCAGUUUUAAAAAGAAAAUGAAAAAUAAUAAUGUCAAAAUGAAAAACAACGAUAUCUUCAUAUUUCACGAAGGUGGCCCUUUUCCUUUAAGAUAGGGCGUGCUAAAACUUUUAGUCUCAUUACUCCUCUGUGCAUCUAAAUUCUAAAGUACUAUAAUGUGCAUCUCAAGUGUUUGGUGCUGUACUGUUAUUAUUUAUGGUUAAUCCAGUGCUGUACUGUUAUUAUUUAUGGUUAAUCCAGUUUUUAUUCGAUUGAAUCGUUGUGUGUAGUGCAUGACAUCCGCGUACCGCCUGUAGCAGUGUUAUAUAUUUUCAUUUAUGCUGGAAAAUAAUAACUUUCUUGUUCAUUG
rnacentral:lncRNA from 1 species